GCCUGUGUGGCGGAAUUGGUAGACGCGCUGGACUCAAAAUCCAGUGGUAGCGAUAUCGUGUGGGUUCGAGUCCCACCACAGGCA
rnacentral:tRNA from 1 species